GACGAACGCUGGCGGCGUGCUUAACACAUGCAAGUCGAACGGUGAAGCGCCUUCCUUUUUGGUGGGUGUGGAUGAGUGGCGAACGGGUGAGUAACACGUGAGUAACCUGCCCCCUUCUUCUGGAUAACCGCAUGAAAGUGUGGCUAAUACGGGAUAUUCUGGGUCUGUCGCAUGAUGGGUCUGGGAAAGAUAUUGUUUCGGUGGGGGAUGGGCUCGCGGCCUAUCAGCUUGUUGGUGGGGUGAUGGCCUACCAAGGCGGUGACGGGUAGCCGGCCUGAGAGGGUGGACGGUCACAAUGGGAAUGAGACACGGCCCAGACUCCUACGGGAGGCAGCAGUGGGGAAUAUUGCACAAUGGGCGGAAGCCUGAUGCAGCGACGCCGCGUGAGGGAUGGAGGCCGUCGGGUUGUGAACCUCUUUCGCCAGUGAAGCAGGCCUGCCUCGUUUGUGGGUGGGUUGACGGUAGCUGGAUAAGAAGCGCCGGCUAACUACGUG
rnacentral:rRNA from 1 species